rnacentral:rRNA from 1 species
GGAGCGUUCUGUAAGCCUGCGAAGGUGUGCUGUGAGGCAUGCUGGAGGUAUCAGAAGUGCGAAUGCUGACAUAAGUAACGAUAAAGCGGGUGAAAAGCCCGCUCGCCGGAAGACCAAGGGUUCCUGUCCAACGUUAAUCGGGGCAGGGUGAGUCGACCCCUAAGGCGAGGCCGAAAGGCGUAGUCGAUGGGAAACAGGUUAAUAUUCCUGUACUUGGUGUUACUGCGAAGGGGGGACGGAGAAGGCUAUGUUGGCCGGGCGACGGUUGUCCCGGUUUAAGCGUGUAGGCUGGUUUUCCAGGCAAAUCCGGAAAAUCAAGGCUGAGGCGUGAUGACGAGGCACUACGGUGCUGAAGCAACAAAUGCCCUGCUUCCAGGAAAAGCCUCUAAGCAUCAGGUAACAUCAAAUCGUACCCCAAACCGACACAGGUGGUCAGGUAGAGAAUACCAAGGCGCUUGAGAGAACUCGGGUGAAG